rnacentral:rRNA from 1 species
AUGAACGCUGGCGGCGUGCCUAAUCCAUGCCAGUCGAGCGAACGGACGAGAAGCUUGCUUCUCUGAUGUUAGCGGCGGACGGGUGAGUAACACGUGGAUAACCUACCUAUAAGACUGGGAUAACUUCGGGAAACCGUAGCUAAUACCGGAUAAUAUUUUGAACCGCAUGGUUCAAAAGUGAAAGACGGUCUUGCUGUCACUUAUAGAUGGAUCCGCGCUGCAUUAGCUAGUUGGUAAGGUAACGGCUUACCAAGGCAACGAUGCAUAGCCGACCUGAGAGGGUGAUCGGCCACACUGGAACUGAGACACGGUCCAGACUCCUACGGGAGGCAGCAGUAGGGAAUCUUCCGCAAUGGGCGAAAGCCUGACGGAGCAACGCCGCGUGAGUGAUGAAGGUCUUCGGAUCGUAAAACUCUGUUAUUAGGGAAGAACAUAUGUGUAAGUAACUGUGCACAUCUUGACGGUACCUAAUCAGAAAGCCACGGCUAACUACGUG